rnacentral:rRNA from 1 species
GUCUAUGGCCAUGCCACCCUGAACAAGCCCGAUGUCUGAUCUUGGAAGCUAAGAAGGGUCUGGCCUGGUUAGUACUUGGAUGGGAGACCACCUAGGAAGAUCAGGUGCUGUAGGCA